rnacentral:rRNA from 1 species
AGUGAACGCUGGCGGCGUGCCUAAUACAUGCAAGUCGAACGGAGUGGCGCAAGGGUGAGUAAUAUAUCGCUAAUCUGCCCCUUGCUGGAGGACCACAGUUAGAAAUGACUGCUACUACUCCAUAGCCAGUGAUGAGACUAUAUCGUAUCAGCUAGUCGGUGGGGUAACGGACUACCGAGGCUAUGACGCGUAACUGGUCUGAGAGGAUGAUCAGUCACAUUGGAACUGAUACACGGUCCAAACGCCUAAGGGAGGCAGCAGGAGGGAAGAUUGCGCAUUGGGGGAAGACCUGACGCAGCAACGCCGCGUGGAGGAUGACACUUUUCGGAGCGUAAACUCCUUUUGUUAGGGAAGCGGUACCUAACGAAUAAGCACCGGCUAACUCCGUGCCAGCAGCCGCGGUAAUAC